UGUACACACUUGUAAUAUCUAGAAAAGGCUCCACCUAUUCUGACCAAUUAUCAGUGAAAUGGUAUCACAAAUUAUUCAUGCAAAAAGGGUAACUGCAAGUCUGCAACAUCGUUAAUCUAACCUAUUUCAUCCUCUGAACUAUGUUCUCUACCAAGAAAACAAGUAAAAGCCACGUACAAUCCAGAAAAAUAACAACAAUGUCAGCCAAAAAAAAUUCGCUAUAUAGCAGGAGCAAUUUUGGUCCAAAUAACGUGCAUGAGAAAAAUCCCACCCUUUUAAAAAGCAUGUAUUACCUUCAUCAGCCAAAAAUUGAAAAAAUAAAUGCAUUACCUUGACCAGCCAAAAACUCAAACAUGAAAAGUAUAGACAGAAUUUGGAGGGAAAGAGAAAAAGUACAAUGAAAACCGUACUCACCUAUCGAAACCAGGAUCGCAGCCUUGAGAACAGAAAGUGGACGAUAAAUAUACCAAGUCUUGUUUGAACCUAAAACCUAAUUUGAGAAUAUCAUGGGAUACAAAUGCGUUGCUCAAUAAUUCGUAGAUUGACGGAAGAGGAAGUACGGAUAGGUCGAGAAGGAAGACCGGCGACUCGUUGGAGUCCGGGAAUAGUCGGCAUGCGAUUUGGAGGAGAGAGACCGUGGGAAAGGUGGAUUGGCGGCUGCGGUGGGGCUUCCAUUCGGCGUCGAUUCCGACGACAGCGGAGUGAGUCAGACACCAACUCAAGGUGGGUGAACUCGGGGCGAAUCGGUACAAGAGACCCAGUAAAUACUGCUACUGUAAGUUUCGGCUUUUCGCCCGUGGAUUCCAUGAUGACGGAUCUUCCAAAGCAGACUGGACAGUAAUACUGUA
rnacentral:lncRNA from 1 species